ACAGUCCGAAAGCUACGAUGCUCACCACGCACAAGAUAUGUCUUUGACGUGUCUUUCAUCGUGAGCGGGCUAAGGUCUGAGUAUUCCAGUCUCCCUCGAUCGACUCUUCCUGGGUUCGGUCCUAACGGACUGCGCGACGUACCAGAAAUGCAGUAGCCAGAGAAGUCCUACCCGCCAAACUGCGUGUCGGCCCUUCGGUCGGAGCUCCAUGACCUUUCUCCCCACGGCUGGGGUACUGAGAGAGUAGGGACGGUCAACUUUGAAAACGCGUCGCGGAGACUGGGUGGGCAUCUUUCCUCCAGGCACUGUGAACUCCACUCUAUCGCGGUAGACGUGCUCAUCAUGGGCGCGCAACGUGGUCGCCUUCUUCGUUCGCAAACAUGGCAGCGUAUUAGGACAUCUGGUCGAGAACUCGGGGGACCCCCCGGGGCAAGUAGCAGCCCAACUUCGGCUCGUAGUGAUCACCACUACCUUGCCCUACCACACCACUGACAACCAUGUCAGCCCGACCCAUCCGGUCGGUCGAUCUCGAUCACGUUGAUCCCGCUUUUCCCCGUACGAGGAGAUUGUUCGCCCGUCGUUUGGUGGGAUGUCCAUCCUUCAGUGCAAUUCGUGGCUCGUAGACUCUACAUCUACGAAACUCGAUUCAGACUACUCUUGGGACUGU
rnacentral:RNase_P_RNA from 2 species